rnacentral:rRNA from 1 species
AAGAAGCGAACCUGCGAAGGCAAGCGGAUCUCUUAAAGCCGUUCUCAGUUCGGACUGUAGGCUGCAACUCGCCUACACGAAGCUGGAAUCGCUAGUAAUCGCGGAUCAGCACGCCGCGGUGAAUACGUUCCCGGGCCUUGUACACACCGCCCGUCACACCAUGAGAGUCUGUAACACCCAAAGCCGGUGGGAUAACCUUUAUAGGAGUCAGCCGUCUAAGGUAGGACAGAUGAUUAGGGUGAAGUCGUAACAAGGUACC